rnacentral:rRNA from 1 species
UACGGAGGGUGCAAGCGUUAUCCGGAUUCACUGGGUUUAAAGGGUGCGUAGGCGGGCAGGUAAGUCAGUGGUGAAAUCUCCGAGCUUAACUCGGAAACUGCCGUUGAUACUAUUUGUCUUGAAUGUUGUGGAGGUAAGCGGAAUAUGUCAUGUAGCGGUGAAAUGCUUAGAUAUGACAUAGAACACCAAUUGCGAAGGCAGCUUACUACACAAUGAUUGACGCUGAGGCACGAAAGCGUGGGGAUCAAACAGG